rnacentral:rRNA from 1 species
CCCGCACAAGCGGUGGAGUAUUGUGGUUUAAUUCGACGCAACGCGAAGAACCUUACCUAGGUUUGACAUCCCGGGGAGUCUUUUGAAAGAGAGAUGUGCCUUUCGGGAGCCCGGAGACAGGUGCUGCAUGGCUGUCGUCAGCUCGUGUCGUGAGAUGUUGGGUUAAGUCCCGCAACGAGCGCAACCCUUAUCUUUAGUUACCAGCACUUCGGGUGGGGACUCUAGAGAUACUGCCCCGGUCAACGGGGAGGAAGGUGGGGAUGACGUCAAGUCCUCAUGGCCUUUAUGCCUAGGGCUACACACGUGCUACAAUGGGGCGUACAGAGAGCUGCGAUACCGCGAGGUGGAGCCAAUCUCUUAAAGCGUCUCUCAGUUCGGAUUGUUCUCUGCAACUCGAGAACAUGAAGCUGGAAUCACUAGUAAUCGCAGAUCAGCUAUGCUGCGGUGAAUACGUUCCCGGGUCUU